AACGAACGCUGGCGGCAGGCCUAACACAUGCAAGUCGAGCGAGGACUUCGGGUCUAGCGGCGGACGGGUGGGUAACGGGUGGGAAUGUGCCCUUGUCUACGGAAUAGCGCUGGGAAACAGGGAGUGAUACGGUAUAUGAUCUCUCGGGGAAAGAUUUAUCGGAGAAGGAUCAGCUCGCGUUGGCUUAGGUAGUGGGUGGGGUAAUGGCGUAUCACGCGGAGGAUCGGUAGCUGGUUUGAGAGGAUGAUCAGCGACACUGGGACUAAGACACGGCCCAGACUCCUACGGGAUGCAGGAGUGGGGAAUCUUAUGCAAUGGGGGCAACCCUGAUCGAGCCAUGACUGGGAAGCGAUGAAGGCCGUAGGGAUGUAAAGCUCGUUCAUCCGUGGCGAUAAUGACGGUACCAGCAGAAGAAGCACCGGCUAACUCCGUG
rnacentral:rRNA from 1 species